rnacentral:lncRNA from 1 species
GAAGUGUAGUAUGCAAGGAAAACAAACUUCAUGGCAACUGAAAUUGGACCUUGGCAAUAUGCUAUAGUACUUUCACGGGCUUCUUUGCUUGGUAGGUCAGUUAUGCAAUGGAAAAGAAUGGAAAAAAGGCUAAAAGAGAGGCAGAGAGAGAGAGAGAGAGAGAGAGAGAGAGAGUUAUGGGUACGAAGGAAGCAAAGGAGGCAUUUAUGGCAGAAUUAUAAAAACUUUUUCCUCUUUUCCGUUACUCUAUACUACUGCCACUUUUAUCUCGUUGGAGAGGCAGAGUAAGUGAGAG